rnacentral:rRNA from 1 species
CCUACGGGAGGCAGCAGUGGGGAAUAUUGGGCAAUGGGCGCAAGCCUGACCCAGCAUGGCCGCGUGAAGGAAGAAGGCUUUCGGGUUGUAAACUUCUUUUCUGAGGGACGAAGAAAGAGACGGUACCUCAGGAAUCAGUCACGGCUAACUACGUGCCAGCAGCGGCGGUAAUACGUAGGUGGCAAGCGUUAUCCGGAUUUAUUGGGUGUAAGGGGCGUGUAGGCGGGAAAGAAAGUCAGAUGUGAAAACUCAGGGCUCAACCCUGAGCCUGCAUUUGAAACUGUUUUUCUUGAGUGCUGGAGAGGCAAUCGGAAUUCCGUGUGUAGCGGUGAAAUGCGUAGAUAUACGGAGGAACACCAGUGGCGAAGGCGGAUUGCUGGACAGUAACUGACGCUGAGGCGCGAAAGCGUGGGGAGCAAACAGGAUUAGAUACCCCAGUAGUC